rfam:Felis catus isolate Cinnamon breed Abyssinian chromosome A3, whole genome shotgun sequence.
GCCUGGGUGGCUCAGUCGGUUAAGCGUCCGACUUCAGCUCAGGUCACGAUCUCGCGGUCCGUAGGUUCGAGCCCCACUUCGGGCU